CUGCCGUCGUCGUCGCUUGUCGGUGCCGUUUGUUGCUGCGCGGGGUUUUUUUUGGAUAGCUUCAAAUUGGAAUAUAUAUUUGUUAAGCAACCGUAGCAAGAAGUACAUAGAAAAAAACCCGAAAAUAUAAUUUCACUGUGAUUUUGUCGGUUAUUUGGACAGAAAUACCAUUUUGUGAAUGCAAAAAAGCCGAAUGCGCAACGAGUUCGCGUCAAACACAUACAUACACACAUACACUCACUGCGCCAGCCACCUACAAUUGAUACAUAAAUACACGUGAAUUGCGAAUGCAUACAAGAAAGAUACAAAUAGAAAAAAUUCUAAGCAGAAGAAAAAAUUGUUAGUGUAGUGAAGUGAAGUAAAGUGAAGUGAAGGGGAAGGCUGAAUUAGUAGUGGUGACCUGUGCGCCUAUAUAGCGGUUGUUGUUGUUGUUGCUUUCUAUACGUGCGUGCGUGUGUGUGUGUGUGUUACCCUCCCCCAUAUUGCAGGCGCUAGUGUGAAGAGCAUAGCAGUAUUUCUCGCAAUGGGUAAACAAAAAAUCUACUGUGCAAAAUGCACAAAGAAAUGCUCCGGCGAGGUGCUGCGCGUGGCUGACAAUCAUUUCCACAAGGCGUGCUUCCAGUGCUGCCAGUGCAAGAAAUCCCUGGCCACGGGCGGCUUCUUUACCAAGGAUGGCGCCUACUAUUGCAUACCGGACUAUCAGCGGAUGUAUGGCACAAAGUGUGCCACCUGUCAGCUGUAUGUGGAGGGCGAGGUGGUCAGCACCAUGGGCAAGACGUACCAUCAGAAAUGCUUCACUUGCUCCAAGUGCCAGCUGCCAUUCAAGUCCGGCAGCAAGGUGACCAACACCGGCAAGGAGGUGCUCUGCGAGCAGUGUGUCACGGGCGGAUCGGCCGUCACGUCGCCAACGACGGCGGCAGCUCGGCCCGCAUCUGUUGCGUCGCCGGCGCCGCCGGCGGAGAGUCCCACACGGGCGACUGCCCAUCAGCAGGUGACGAGCGGUGUGCUGUCGCAUAAGGCGCAUCUAAAGGAGGACUAUGAUCCGAAUGAUUGCGCCGGCUGCGGCGAGCUGCUGAAGGAGGGCCAGGCGCUGGUCGCUCUGGACAGGCAGUGGCACGUCUGGUGCUUCCGCUGCAAGUCCUGCAAUGCGGUGCUCAAUGGCGAGUAUAUGGGCAAGGAUGGGGUGCCAUAUUGCGAGAAGUGCUAUCAGAAGAGCUUCGGCGUCAAGUGCGCCUACUGCAAUCGCUUCAUUAGCGGCAAGGUGCUCCAGGCCGGCGACAACCAUCACUUCCAUCCGACCUGUGCCCGCUGCACCAAGUGCGGCGAUCCGUUUGGCGAUGGCGAGGAAAUGUACCUGCAGGGCAGCGCCAUCUGGCAUCCGCGCUGCGGUCCCGGUCCCUCCGAGUCCGGCAUCAUACUGAACGGUUCCGGCGGCGCCAGGCCGGGCACCACAUCCGUCACCGGCGGCGUCUCCAAUGGCAACUUUACAGACACCGAAUGCGAUCGCAUGAGCUCCAGUGCGCUUAGCGACAUGUACAUCCGUUCCAGAACACCGAGUUUUAAUGGUUCACUUUAUUCCUCUAGCCGCAAGCACUAUCGCACCGUCAGCCCGGGUCUGAUACUGCGCGAGUACGGCCGGCCGAUUGGCGAGGAUAUAUCGCGCAUCUAUACCUAUAGCUAUCUGACAGAUGCACCGCAUUAUCUGCGCAAGCCGAUCGAUCCGUACGACAAGACGCCACUGUCGCCGCAUUUCCAUAGGCCGGCCUCCUAUGCGACGACCAGCAAUGCGGGCUCCGUGGCCGGCAGCCGGCCGCCAUCGCGUCCACAUUCGCGCACGCGCAGCGCCAUGAAGGUGCUGGUGGAUGCCAUACGCUCGGAGACGCCGCGUCCGAAGAGUCCCGGCAUGAACAACGAGGAGCCCAUUGAACUGUCGCACUAUCCGGCGGCCAAGAAGCCGCCACCGGGCGAGCAACCCAAAAUCGAAAGAGAUGAUUUCCCGGCACCGCCCUAUCCCUAUACGGAUCCGGAGCGCAGGCGGCGCUACAGCGACACCUACAAGGGUGUGCCCGUAUCGGAUGACGAUGAUGAGGACAACGAGAACGGCAAGCGAACCAAUGGCAAGGUCAAAAAUGGCGAGGAGCAGUCACGUCUGCAUCGGGAGGCCGAGCAACUGGAGAAGCUUAACUCGGGCAUUUGCUCGGUCAUUGCCAAGGACCUUAAGGAGCACGCCAAGUACAGGAAAUGGAAGCAAAACAAUCUGGAUCCGCGCAAUGCCUCGCGCACGCCUUCAGCCUCCAAGGAGCCGGUAUAUAAGUUGAGAUACGAAUCGCCCAUUGGCGCCUCGCCGUCGCGCAAUCUGGAUCAUCAGAAGCCCUUCUACGAGGAUGAGAUGUUCGAUCGAUCCACCAGCUAUCGCGGCUCACUGGGCAAAUCGCUGGGCAAUGCGCCCAGCUACAAUGGACUUCUCGUAUGGAGGUCUGGGCGACAAAACGCACAGCACGGACUUGAGCUGCGGCAAAUCAGAGGCUUCGGUGGACUCAAUUACUGAGGGCGAUAGGCGCGCUCUGAUGGGCGGUGAGUUGCCCGCCUCGAGCACAUACUCGGGCGCCUUGUCCUAUCAUUAUCCGCAGGCAGGACUCAUUAGACGCAGCCUGCCCAAUAUGGCGCACUCGAUGCUGGUGCACGAGCCGGCCAAGAUCUAUCCGUAUCACAUAUUGCUUAUAACGAACUAUCGUCUACCAUCCGACGUUGAUCGCUGCAACUUGGAGCGUCAUUUGUCCGACAUCGAGUUCGAGCACAUCUUGCAGUGCGCCAGAUCUGAGUUCUACAGGCUGCCCCAGUGGAGGCGCAAUGAGCUGAAGCGACGCGUGAAGCUCUUCUAAAUGGCUGACCGCUUACCCGAGCGAGCUCCAGCCUGCGACGAAACCAAAACAAUUACCUAAACUUUUUGAGUGGUUCUUAACUAUUAAACAAUGGCAGCAAAUGGCCUGAAACAAUAACAAAAAAAAAACAAAAAUAUAAGAAAAACUAUGCUAAUUUCACAGCCAGUUUUCGAAACACGCUUUAAAUAUAUAGUUGAAACAUAAAGAAACAAAAAAACAAGCAACAAAAAAAAAAAUGAAAAAUAGUUACAUUUGAAGUACGGACUGCGCCACACGUCAGCUCCAGUUUAUUUUUUUAAGCAUUAGUUGCGCUGAUACUAUUUAAAUUCUAUAAGAAAACCAAAACUUGAAACAUCAUCGGCAUCGGCCGAAGUUAAAAUACCCUAGCAGAACUACUUAAGCAUUUAAGAACCUAAGUCUGCCAAUUAGAGUCCGAUAUUGUAAGAUGAAACUUUCAAUCUAAUCUACGACCAGCCCAAGCUAGAGGAGCUCUGCGAGGGUAGCCCAGAAAUGUAUACAAAUUGCAAUUAGUUAAAACACUCUGGCAAAGCUUUUUAUAUAAUUAAAGAAUACUACAGCGGCUAAUCCCCGAGAGGAGUGCAUCAAAGAAAGAGAAAUAAAUGUACCUACUUACAAAUUCAAGAGUAUAA
rnacentral:misc_RNA from 1 species